GAUUUUCUCAUUUAUUGGAAUGCUAUGCAGGUUGUACCUUGCAGCCAUCCAUUACAAUGUCACCAAGCCGUAACAAAAGCAGGAGAGGGAAAGUACAAGGCUAUGUUCCCAAAACACAAAUGACAUACCUUAUGUGGAUGAUGUGAUCAGGCUUGUGUUUGCUGAGGUAUUUGAAGAUAAGCUGAAGGAAACCCCGAUUCCAAUGGACCUGGCAUCACAGUUUGAGAGACCUUCAAAGGAGGACGUGAUUGCAUGCCAUCUUCAGUGCAG